UACACACCGCCCGUCACACCAUGGGAGUGGGUUGCUCCAGAAGGCGUUAGUCUAACCGCAAGGAGGACGACGCCUACGGAGUGGUUCAUGACUGGGGUG
rnacentral:rRNA from 1 species